GUCACAUGCGCCGAAUACAACAGUGAAAUGCUUACUUACAAGCCCUUAACCAACAAUGCAGUUUUAAGAAAAUACCUAAAAAAGGAGAUAAAAGUAACAAGUAAUUAAAUAGCAGCAGUAAAAUAACAAUAGUGAGGUUUUAUACAGGGGUACCUGUACAGAGUCAAUGUGGAGGCUAUAUACAGGGGGUACCAGUACAGAGUCAAUGUGGAGGCUAUAUACAGGAGGUACCAGUACAGAGUCAAUGUGGAGGCUAUAUACAGGGGUACCGGUACAGAGUCAAUGUGGAGGCUAUAUACAGGUGGUACCGGUACAGAGUCAAUGUGGAGGCUAUAUACAGGGGUACUGGUACAGAGUCAAUGUGGAGGCUAUAUACAGGGGGUACCGGUACAGAGUCAAUGUACAGAGUCAAUGUGGAGGCUAUAUAAGUAAUAUGUACAUGUAGGUGGAGUUGUUAAAGUGACUAUGCAUAGAUAAUAACAGAGUAGCAGCAGCAUAGAAGAGGGGGGAGAGACAAUGCAAAUAGUCUGUAAAGCCAUUUGAUACAAUUUUCAGGAGUCUUAUGUCUUGGGGGUAGAAGCUGUUUAGAAGCCUCUUGAACCUAGACUUGGGGCACCGGUACCACUUGCCGUGCGGUAGCAGGGAGAACAGUCUGACUAGGGUGGCUGGAGUCACUGACAAUUUUUAGGGCCCUCUUCUGACACCGCCUGGAAUCAGAAGUCCUGGAUGGCAGGAAGCUUGGCACCAGUGAUGUACUGGGCCGUAGGCACUACCCUCUGUCGUGCCUUGUGGUUAGAGGCCAAGCAGUUGCCAUACCAGGGAGUGUUGCAACCCGUCAGGAUGCUCUCGAUGGUGCAGCUGUAGAACCUUUUGAGGAUCUGAGUACCCAUACCAAAUCUUAGAAAUACAGCUAAACCUAGGGUAUGGCUAAAUGGGGUGUGUAGAAAUACAGCUAAACCUAGGGUAUGGCUAAAUGGGGUGUGUAGAAAUACAUGUGGGGGUCAGGGAGAGAGUAGAGUUAUGUACUAGACUGGUGGGGGUCAGGGAGAGAGUUGAGUUAUAUACUAGACUGGUGGGGGUCAGGGAGAGAGUUGAGUUAUGUACUAGACUGGUGGGGGUCAGGGAGAGAGUUGAGUUAUGUACUAGACUGGUGGGGGUCAGGGAGAGAGUUGAGUUGAGUUAUGUACUAGACUGGUGGGGGUCAGGGAGAGAGUUGAGUUAUGUACUAGACUGGUG
rnacentral:lncRNA from 1 species